rnacentral:pre_miRNA from 1 species
UGAGUUGUGCAAAAGUGCUUACAGUGCAGGUAGAGGCCUAGGAUCUACUGCAGUAUAAGCACUUCUGGCAUUACUGU